rnacentral:antisense_RNA from 3 species
GUCUUUGGCGGGCGGUGCGUGGAGGGCCUCGUGCCCGCCGGAACUGUCUGUCCCCGGUAUUGGAGCCACGCAUCGUCCGCCACCCUC